GUGGGGAAUAUUGCACAAUGGGCGAAAGCCUGAUGCAGCAACGCCGCGUGAGGGACGACGGCCUUCGGGUUGUAAACCUCUUUUAGUAGGGAAGAAGCGAAAGUGACGGUACCUGCAGAAAAAGCACCGGCUAACUACGUGCCAGCAGCCGCGGUAAUACGUAGGGUGCAAGCGUUAUCCGGAAUUAUUGGGCGUAAAGAGCUCGUAGGCGGUCUGUUGCGUCUGCUGUGGAACUUGGAGGCUCAACCUCCAGCCUGCAGUGGGUACGGGCAGACUAGAGUGCGGUAGGGGAGAUUGGAAUUCCUGGUGUAGCGGUGGAAUGCGCAGAUAUCAGGAGGAACACCGAUGGCGAAGGCAGAUCUCUGGGCCGUAACUGACGCUGAGGAGCGAAAGCGUGGGGAGCGAACAGGAUUAGAAACCCGGGUAGUCC
rnacentral:rRNA from 1 species